rnacentral:rRNA from 1 species
GACGAACGCUGGCGGCGUGCUUAACACAUGCAAGUCGAACGACGUGGCGAACGGGUGAGUAACGCGUAAUCAACCUGCACUUCACAGGGGGACAACAGUGGGAAACGACUGCUAAUACCACAUAUUGAAGCAGGGGUUUCCGUCUGAUUAGGUAGUUGGCGGGGUAACGGCCCACCAAGGCGAUGAUCAGUAGCCGGUCUGAGAGGGUGAACGGCCACAUUGGGACUGGGACACGGCCCAGACUCCUACGGGAGGCAGCAGGGGGGAAUCUUCCGGAAUGGGGGAAAGUCUGACGGAGCAACGCCGGGUGAGUGAUGACGGCCUUCGGGUUGUAAAGCUCUGUUAAUCGGGACGCGGUACCGGAAUAGAAAGCCACGGCUAACUACGUGCCAGCAGCCGCGGUAAUAC